CAUCACGAGGCUUGAUGAGAAUCUGUUCUACACGUGGAUCAUGCAAGCGGGUCAGCUGAGAGUCUGCAUUUUGCUCUGGUGCCGUUUCCAAAACCWGACUCUCCAAACCUUGCGCCCAUCUUAGUCUUAUCAGUACAGUAACCUACAUCCAUUAUCAGAAGACAACUUGUUACUUAACGACGGAAGCUUUUUGUGAACGGAAAAGAAGCAGGUAUAUUCGAGGACGGAGCUAAGAUAAGGAAGGACGAAUUUUGACGAUUGAAAAUGUGGUACUACAGAUGUUCUACAUACUUCCUAACCAGAUCCUCUGCAACUACAAAUUUCCUUGAGAAAUUCUGAUGAUGACAAUUAUAAUACUCUAUUUUGUAAUGGCCGACCCUUUUUGGUUGUCAAAUUUUAUCAACAGCCCAACCCUUUGAAGGAGUUCAAAAUUAUGUGACCCA